UACGGGGGGGGGCAAGCGUUGUUCGGAAUUACUGGGCGUAAAGGGCUCGUAGGCGGCCAACUAAGUCGGAUGUGAAAUCCCCAGGCUUAACCUGGGAACUGCAUCCGAUACUGGAUGGCUUGAAUCCGGGAGAGGGAUGCGGAAUUCCAGGUGUAGCGGUGAAAUGCGUAGAUAUCUGGAGGAACACCGGUGGCGAAGGCGGCUCACUGGCCCGGAACUGACGCUGAGGUGCGAAAGCGCGGGGAGCAAACAGG
rnacentral:rRNA from 1 species